rnacentral:rRNA from 1 species
CCUACGGGAGGCAGCAGUGGGGAAUAUUGCACAAUGGGGGAAACCCUGAUGCAGCGACGCCGCGUGAGUGAAGAAGUAAUUCGUUAUGUAAAGCUCUAUCAGCAGGGAAGAAAAUGACGGUACCUGAGUAAGAAGCCCCGGCUAACUACGUGCCAGCAGCCGCGGUAAUACGUAGGGGGCAAGCGUUAUCCGGAUUUACUGGGUGUAAAGGGAGCGUAGACGGCAGUGCAAGUCUGGAGGGAAAGGGGGGGGCUCAACCCCCGGACUGCUCUGGAAACUGUACGGCUGGAGUGCAGGAGAGGUAAGUGGAAUUCCUAGUGUAGCGGUGAAAUGCGUAGAUAUUAGGAGGAACACCAGUGGCGAAGGCGGCUUACUGGACUGUAACUGACGUUGAGGCUCGAAAGCGUGGGGAGCAAACAGGAUUAGAUACCCUAGUAGUC